rnacentral:tRNA from 4 species
CAGAAAAUAGUUUAGUUUAGAAUUCU